AUGCCCACCGGGGUACGGCGUAGGGGCAGAGCAUCUGGAAACCGGAACAGGAAGCGGCAGCAGCAAGGCAUGGGAAAUGAGCUCGACGCUUUCUCGGAAGAGCUUCAACGACGGCUAGAAGUAAGGACCAUCAACAAGUAUGCGCUCUUUGCCGCGUACGUCCGAAUUAUCCUGAAAACCAUCGGGGCCCUGAUGCUUUUGUGGGCCACCGUGGUCCUCCUCGGCGGCUUCGUCUCCGAUCUGACGAAGAGGGACUUUUGGUGUCUGACCAUCCUCUCAUUCCUGCAGGCCGCCGGGUUAGUGCUUAGUAUUCAGUUUCCUCUCGUAUCGAGCUCGCGGUCCGCCGCCGCGCCUCCUCCAGCUCCCUGCCGCGGGGAGCUCGUCCGCGGGCGCCUCGAGCUCGCGGCUCACUCCGGUCAAGAGAGAGCCGGAGGAGCUCGGGCCACUCGCCGUCAAGCUCGAGGCCGACGCGGACCCGCCGCAUCGGUCGUCAUCGGUCGUGAAGACUACCUCCCCCCGGGGCAGGAGGACCACCUUGAGCGUGCUAUCAUGGAACGCUCGGCGAGGGAUGAGGAGGAGGCCGACGCGCGCCGCCGCCGUGAGCUCGAGAUUGAGGACAUCUUCCUCAAGCAGGGCGUCGCGGCGUUGCAGGCGCACGCGUUCGAUGAGGCAGACCUACGCGUCAUGAAGGCCGAGCAGGCCAAGGUGACUAAUCGGCCAAAGAUGCUCAACCCACCAAGUUUGGUGUCAACAGGAGGGGAGGAGCGGUGGCAUUCUUGGGACCAGAGCGGCGGCAACCUAUCAUGCACUACUCUUCCUCGAUGAUCCACCGCCACCAUCUUCCGCCGUCCAGUAUUCAGGAGGAAUCACUGCAUAAAUCUUGCCAGUCACAUCUACCAUCGACGCCAUCACGACGCCACACAGUGCCAUUUUAGACCUUCCAUCAAUGGAGAUAUCAAUGGAGACAACAUCUUCCUUACUGCAGAUUGGAUGGAAGAUUAUUUGAAAGAUGAAAAAGAGAAGAUUGACAAACCAACUCCAAGCCAAACAAAUACUUCACCAAGACCGUCAAUGGGAACAUGUAUGGGUAAUCGCAAUAAAAAGAUCAAAGAGAAGAGGGCCCAACAAGCAAAAGAAGCACAUGCAGAAAAGAAGAUGAAAGAAGCUCAGGAAACUGCAAGCCGGCUUAAAGAAAAGGCUGGUGAAACAUUGGCCAUCCUGUCUAGUGAUUCAGAGGCUAUCAAGAGCUUCACAGGUUGCGAUGAUGAUAUCCAUCGUCUUACUGAAUUGCUUGACUGCAAUAUCAAGACCAUCAAAUGCAAAAUAAAUACAACGGAUACUGUGGAAAUAGAUAUCAACACGGGCUGUCGUAUUAGUGUAGGAGUCAUCUUGAAGAAUUUGAGCAACUACGUCAAGGCACCAACCUUACGGAAGGUAUUCGAACAAUUGCUUCCAGUAGAACAAGACCAGCCUUUCACUUCAGGGACCCCCAACAAGCAGCGUGGGGAUAGGAUGCUGCAAGCGGAGCUGUUAUCGCUCGUUGCGGCGAUUCGUGCAAACAACAAUCUUAAUCUUGCAGGAAUCUUACUUUCGCAGACGCCGCCGGAUACCUUGGAAGACUUUGUGGUGAGGCUGAAGAAGAUGGUCAAGGACAACAUGUAUGCCACCCCUGCAUGCCUGGCGAUACAAAAGCUUACUUGUGAGCUGGUUAUAGAAUUCAUCAAGCAUGAUCGAAACGUCGAAAGGAUCGACAGACACAAUAUUGUUGCAACAUUACUGGAGGCUUCAGAGGUGAUGGACUGUGUUGAGAGCGACAUGCUUUUCGCUGGUGUCGAUCGUGACUGCUAUGGGGUUCCUCUGAAGCCUCUUUCUUCUGUUCUGGCAAAAAAUGCCGAAGAUCUUUUGGCGCAGAGGAAACAGGCUCUGGGUAUCAACAUUGUGCCUGCCAGUGCACCAAUACCGUGA
rnacentral:rRNA from 1 species